rnacentral:rRNA from 1 species
UUCAGGAUGAACGCUAGCUACAGGCUUAACACAUGCAAGUCGAGGGGCAGCAUCAUCAAAGCUUGCUUUGAUGGAUGGCGACCGGCGCACGGGUGAGUAACACGUAUCCAACCUGCCGACAACACUGGGAUAGCCUUUCGAAAGAAAGAUUAAUACCGGAUGGCAUAGUUUUCCCGCAUGGGAUAAUUAUUAAAGAAUUUCGGUUGUCGAUGGGGAUGCGUUCCAUUAGGCAGUUGGCGGGGUAACGGCCCACCAAACCAACGAUGGAUAGGGGUUCUGAGAGGAAGGUCCCCCACAUUGGAACUGAGACACGGUCCAAACUCCUACGGGAGGCAGCAGUGAGGAAUAUUGGUCAAUGGACGAGAGUCUGAACCAGCCAAGUAGCGUGAAGGAUGACUGCCCUAUGGGUUGUAAACUUCUUUUAUACGGGAAUAAAGUUAGCCACGUGUGGCUUUUUGUAUGUACCGUAUGAAUAAGGAUCGGCUAACUCCGUGCCAGCAGCCGCGGUAAUACGGAGGAUCCGAGCGUUAUCCGGAUUUAUUGGGUUUAAAGGGAGCGUAGGCGGGUUGUUAAGUCAGUUGUGAAAGUUUGCGGCUCAACCGUAAAAUUGCAGUUGAUACUGGCGACCUUGAGUGCAACAGAGGUAGGCGGAAUUCGUGGUGUAGCGGUGAAAUGCUUAGAUAUCACGAAGAACUCCGAUUGCGAAGGCAGCUUACUGGAUUGUAACUGACGCUGAUGCUCGAAAGUGUGGGUAUCAAACAGGAUUAGAUACCCUGGUAGUCCACACAGUAAACGAUGAAUACUCGCUGUUGGCGAUAUACAGUCAGCGGCCAAGCGAAAGCAUUAAGUAUUCCACCUGGGGAGUACGCCGGCAACGGUGAAACUCAAAGGAAUUGACGGGGGCCCGCACAAGCGGAGGAACAUGUGGUUUAAUUCGAUGAUACGCGAGGAACCUUACCCGGGCUUAAAUUGCAACUGACUGAACCGGAAACGGUUCUUUCUUCGGACAGUUGUGAAGGUGCUGCAUGGUUGUCGUCAGCUCGUGCCGUGAGGUGUCGGCUUAAGUGCCAUAACGAGCGCAACCCUUAUCGAUAGUUACUAGCAGGUCAUGCUGAGGACUCUAUUGAGACUGCCGUCGUAAGAUGUGAGGAAGGUGGGGAUGACGUCAAAUCAGCACGGCCCUUACGUCCGGGGCUACACACGUGUUACAAUGGGGGGUACAGAAGGCAGCUACACGGCGACGUGGUGCUGAUCCCUAAAGCCUCUCUCAGUUCGGAUUGGAGUCUGCAACCCGACUCCAUGAAGCUGGAUUCGCUAGUAAUCGCGCAUCAGCCACGGCGCGGUGAAUACGUUCCCGGGCCUUGUACACCCCGCCCGUCAAGCCAUGAAAGCCGGG